rnacentral:rRNA from 1 species
UGCAUGUCUAAGUACAAACUUUAAUAAAGUGAAACCGCGAAUGGCUCAUUAUAUCAGCUAUAAUUCGCAAGAACUAAUCCUUUUACUUGGAUAACUGUAGUAAUUCUAGAGCUAAUACAUGCAACUAGACGCCUUAAACUUCGCAAGAGGUGACACGGUGUCAUUUUACUACUCACGAAACCUAUUAACUCUGAAUUGGAAUACCAGUAACUGGAAUCGAUCGCAUAACCCUUCGGGGAGCGACAUAUCUUUCAAGUGUCUGCCCUAUCAAGUUUCGUUGGUAGUGUAUUGGACUACCAAGCUUUUAACGGGUAACGGAGAAUCAGGGUUCGAUUCCGGAGAAGCAGCCUGAGAAACGGCUACUACAUCUAAGGAAGGCAGCAGGCGCGCAAAUUACCCACUCCCGGAACGGGGAGGUAGUGACAAGAAAUAACGAUACGAAUCUCUUUCGAGGCUUCGUGAUCGCAAUGAGUACACUUUAAAUCCUUUGCUGAGGAUCGAUUGGAGGGCAAGUCUGGUGCCAGCAGCCGCGGUAAUUCCAGCUCCAAUAGCGUAUAUUAAUACUGUUGCAGUUAAAAAGCUCGUAGUUGGAUCUUGGGUCCAGGCAUGGGGUGACCGACCUAAAAUUGCGGUCACUCUCUGUAUCCUGGUCUCCUGUAGCUACGUGUCCACUGAUGAUCUUUGCCGAUUGUCUAUGGUGCGAAGCUCGUUUACUUUGAAAAAAUUAGAGUGUUCAAAGCAGGCCUAAACCACAUGGCCCGAAUAAAUGUGCAUGGAAUAAUAGAAGAGGACCUCUGUUCCUUCUUUUGUUGGUUUCCGGAAUAUGAGGUAAUGAUUAAAAGGAACGGCCGGGGGCAUCUGUACUACUGCGUUAGAGGUGAAAUUCUUGGAUCGCAGUAUGACAAACUACAGCGAAAGCAUUUGCCAAGUAUGUUUUCAUUAAUCAAGAACGAAAGUCAGAGGUUCGAAGACGAUCAGAUACCGUCGUAGUUCUGACCCUAAACGAUGCCGACUAGACGUGUGCUGACGUGUUUUUUCAAUACCCAUUUGAAAAAGGUACCAACUCAGCACGCUUCUUCCGGGAAACCAAAGUCUAUGGGUUCUGGGGGAAGUAUGGUUGCAAAGCUGAAACUUAAAGGAAUUGACGGAAGGGCACCACCAGGAGUGGAGCCUGCGGCUUAAUUUGACUCAACACGGGAAAACUCACCCGGUCCGGACACCGUAAGGAUUGACAGACUCAAAGCUCUUUCUUGAUUCGGUGGGUGGUGGUGCAUGGCCGUUCUUAGUUGGUGGAGCGAUCUGUCUGGUUUAUUCCGAUAACGAACGAGACUCUCGCCUGCUUUUUAGAAUGCGUAUUCUUUAACGUGUGCGUCAUUCUUCUUAGAGGGACAGGUGGCGAUUAGCCGCAUGAAACCGAGAGCAAUAACAGGUCUGUGAUGCCCUUAGAUGUCCGGGGCCGCACGCGCGCUACAAUGAUGAAAUCAGUUGGCUCCAGCCCCGAGAGGGGAGUGGUACUCCGUUGAACCUUCAUCUUGAUAGGGAUUGUGGCUUGUAACUAUUCCACAUGAACGAGGAAUUCCUAGUAAGCGCUUGUCAUCACCAAGCGUUGAUUACGUCCCUGCCCUUUGUACACACCGCCCGUCGCUACUACCGAUUAGGUGGUUUAGUGAAGUCUUCGGACUAGGUAUAUAUACAUGCAAAUGUUAAAACCUACAAAGCAGCCUAAACUUGAUCAUCUAGAGGAAGUAAAAGUCGUAACAAGGUUUCCGUAGGUGAACCUGCGG